rnacentral:rRNA from 1 species
UACAGAGGUCUCAAGCGUUGUUCGGAUUCAUUGGGCGUAAAGGGUGCGUAGGUGGCGAGGUAAGUCUGGUGUGAAAUCCCGGGGCUCAACCCCGGAACUGCACUGGAUACUGCCCUUCUGGAGUACUGGAGAGGAGAUUGGAAUUUACGGUGUAGCAGUGAAAUGCGUAGAUAUCGUAAGGAAGACCAGUGGCGAAGGCGAAUCUCUGGACAGUUACUGACACUGAGGCACGAAGGCCAGGGGAGCAAACGGG